GACGAACGCUGGCGGCGUGCUUAACACAUGCAAGUCGAACGGAAAGGCCCUGCUUGCAGGGUACUCGAGUGGCGAACGGGUGAGUAACACGUGGGUGAUCUGCCCUGCACUUCGGGAUAAGCUUGGGAAACUGGGUCUAAUACCGGAUAGGAACCAUCUUUAGUGUGGUGGUUGGAAAGUUUUUUCGGUGUAGGAUGAGCUCGCGGCCUAUCAGCUUGUUGGUGGGGUAAUGGCCUACCAAGGCGGCGACGGGUAGCCGGCCUGAGAGGGUGUACGGCCACAUUGGGACUGAGAUACGGCCCAGACUCCUACGGGAGGCAGCAGUGGGGAAUAUUGCACAAUGGGCGCAAGCCUGAUGCAGCGACGCCGCGUGGGGGAUGAAGGCCUUCGGGUUGUAAACUCCUUUCGCUAGGGACGAGGCUUUGUUGUGACGGUACCUAGAUAAGAAGCACCGGCUAACUACGUG
rnacentral:rRNA from 1 species